rnacentral:tRNA from 1 species
GCGGGUGUAGCUCAGUGGUAGAGCGUCACGUUGCCAACGUGAAUGUCGUCAGUUCAAAUCUGAUCACCCGCU